ensembl:lncRNA
UGACUCAGGGCUCAUAUCAUUAAUGUAUAGAGAACUUGAACCAGUCAAUAAGAAAAGACCAGUGACCCAAAGGAAAAGGGUGCAGGAGAGGGCCUUGGAAAAUGCCAACCAAAGCGCCACCCCACCGCCCUGAAAUGACUCCAAGAAUGUACUCGGGGGCUGGGGUUCCAGAGCUGCUGGUUCUGGGCACAUGGGGCAGCUGGACACUGGCAUUGCUUUUCAUCUGUGGCUCCAACUGGAUGGCGGGCCAUCCUGGAGCCAAAGACAGACAAGCCUCGGCAACGACUGGCCAAAGAAGUGGGUGAUGGCGCUGGGUGUUGAGGAGGUCUGGGCAGCAUCACCCAGGAGCUGGGAGAUCCUCUUGGUGAGGAACGUGUGGCAGGAAAGGCAGUGGCUUCCCACCAGCGAGAGAAGGCUGACCACACCUGCAGACCAGACAACUGUCAGGGCAGUUCCUGGGCAGACAACCCCCUUGCUGCUCUCCGCGCGUGUGUGCUAAGUCGCUUCAGUCGUGUCCGACUCUUCACAACCCCGUGGACUGUAGCCCACCGGCUCCUCUGUCCAUGGGAUUCUCCAGGCAAGAAUCCUGCAGUGGGUUGCCAUGCCCUCCUCCACGGGUCUUCCCAACUCAAGGAUUGAACCCGCAUCUCCUUACAUCUCCUGCAUCGGAAGGUGGGUUCUUUGCCACUAGCACCACCUGGGAAGCUCUUCGGGUCUCCAUGCUCCCCCAGACCCACACUUGGUCCUAGGGCCGAUGUUCCUUUCCCAUCCCUGACCUCAGCAUGUAGGCCUUUUUCCUCUGCCUCAUCAGAUAGUUCGUCCCCACACCCAGGCACUGGAUCUGAUCUCGCCCCACCCUCCUACGUGUCCAGAUGUUAUCAGCCCAAGUGAGGAGCUGUUGAGCAACUCAACAAACCUGACACCUGAUCCUGCCUGGGCUGUGGAUAGCCCCUCCUUCGGCUUCAGGCAGGGAAGGGUGACGACUGCUCAAUGGGAAGCCCCAGAUCUCGCGAGAACCACCAGCCUCGUGGCUUUUCCCAGCCCUGCGGGAGAAGGGCAGGGGGCACACACCUAGGAGUCUCAGGCCUCUAGAGCAGCGCGCUUACUGUGAGGUUUCUAGACCAGCAGCGGCAGCAGCACUGGGAGCUUGUUGGAGUCACAAAUGCUCAACCCCCACCUCAGAUGUGCAAGAUCAGAGAUUCUAGGGCGGUGCCCUAUGGUCUGGCUUUGAGUGAGCCCUCUAGGUGUUCUCACGACCCUUCCAGCAUGAGAACCAGCGUCAGGGUGGAUGGUUUCUUUCUUUCUUUUUUUUUUUUUUAACGAUGGAUGGUUUCUGAUCACAUCCACUGCUAGUGAAGCCAGGAGCUUUCUCUCCCUGCUGGGUUCACUCACCUGGACCUCCAGGGAAGAGGCAGGCAGCAGGCACUGAGGGCUGCAACCAUAGGCGGUCCUGGAGAACAGGAGUGCCUGGGCAAGAUUCCCUCCCAGCGGGCCACACCUGUCGAGUGACAGGGGGAAGACUGUGUUACUUUGGGCCCUCCCUACCUCCAGAAGCAUGGCACCCCUGGCCGACUCCACGUUUCUGGGCACUGGGCUCAGCUCUGCCCACCUCUCCCUUGUUACUCCGUGUGGGGCGGGGGGAAGGGGGCAGGAUCCGGGCUUCACAGAGAAUCAUCCCAGUCACACUCACGGGCUGUGGAACACGGUGGGCCGGGCAAUGGGUGGGAGCGGCUGGAGGGAGGGGCCAAGCGAAGACCCCCUGACCCUGCCCUUUGGCAUAUUGGCGGGGUUGCCGCCCACCCUCCCCGCUCCCACGGUCCUUGGGCACCCCUAAUACACUGUCCUGGGCCAUCCGCCCUCAGUACAGCAGGGGGAGUCCUGCCGGGAGUGGGGGGUGGGGCCCCGACGGAAUCCCCAAGGUCUCCAGGGCCCUGGGCUCUGGGGAGACGUCUCUUCGCCCUCUCCCCAGUAAAAGACGCACAACCCAGCAAACUGCGGGGCUUUGGCCCCGCCCAGGACCCAGAAGGCAGGCUGCUGUGCACCGAGAUGGAGGUGGGGACGCGAAGCUGGGGGCCGUUUCCGUGCUUCGAGCCCCGCCCUGAGCGUCCCCGCGGCCGUCGCCUCUCGCUCCCCUCCUCAGGCAGCCCACCGGAAGCCGUGGCGUACCGCCUUCCUGCCCACCUCUUCCGGCUGGCUUCACCAAUGACCAUGCUCGACUCCUGAGAAGACCCGCCCUCCAGCUCCAA